rnacentral:rRNA from 1 species
GGACCAUCCUCCAAGGCUAAAUACUCCUGACUGACCGAUAGUGAACCAGUACCGUGAGGGAAAGGCGAAAAGAACCCCGGCGAGGGGAGUGAAAAAGAACCUGAAACCGUGUACGUACAAGCAGUGGGAGCACGCUUAGGCGUGUGACUGCGUACCUUUUGUAUAAUGGGUCAGCGACUUAUAUUCUGUAGCAAGGUUAACCGAAUAGGGGAGCCGAAGGGAAACCGAGUCUUAACUGGGCGUUAAGUUGCAGGGUAUAGACCCGAAACCCGGUGAUCUAGCCAUGGGCAGGUUGAAGGUUGGGUAACACUAACUGGAGGACCGAACCGACUAAUGUUGAAAAAUUAGCGGAUGACUUGUGGCUGGGGGUGAAAGGCCAAUCAAACCGGGAGAUAGCUGGUUCUCCCCGAAAGCUAUUUAGGUAGCGCCUCGUGAAUUCAUCUCCGGGGGUAGAGCACUGUUUCGGCAAGGGGGUCAUCCCGACUUACCAACCCGAUGCAAACUGCGAAUACCGGAGAAUGUUAUCACGGGAGACACACGGCGGGUGCUAACGUCCGUCGUGAAGAGGGAAACAACCCAGACCGCCAGCUAAGGUCCCAAAGUCAUGGUUAAGUGGGAAACGAUGUGGGAAGGCCCAGACAGCCAGGAUGUUGGCUUAGAAGCAGCCAUCAUUUAAAGAAAGCGUAAUAGCUCACUGGUCGAGUCGGCCUGCGCGGAAGAUGUAACGGGGCUAAACCAUGCACCGAAGCUGCGGCAGCGACGCUUAUGCGUUGUUGGGUA